rnacentral:misc_RNA from 1 species
GAUGAAGAACGUAGCGAAAUGCGAUAAGUAAUGUGAAUUGCAGAAUUCAGUGAAUCAUCGAAUCUUUGAACGCACCUUGCACCCUUUGGCAUUCCGAAGGGUAUGCUCGUUUGAGUGUCAUUGUACUCUCACACUCUCCGAUCCUAUGGAUUCGGGGAGCGGUGGACUUGGGUGUUGCUGCCUUUCCUUGUGGCUCACCUCAAAUGUGUCAGUGCACCUCUUGGUUGGACAUAGUACGGCGUGAUAAGUGUCUUCGCCGGCACCUCGCAAGAGGGUGGCCGAUCGGGAGCUCUGUGCUUUCAAACCGUCUUCGGACAAUUUCUGACAACUUGACCUCAAAUCGAGUAGGACUACCCGCUGAACAUAAGCAUAUCAAUAAGCGGAGGA